rnacentral:rRNA from 1 species
GACGAACGCUGGCGGCGUGCUUAACACAUGCAAGUCGAACGGAAAGGCCCUGCUUUUGUUGGUUGCUCGAUUGGCGAACGGGUGAGUAACACGUGAGUAACCUGCCCUUGACUUUGGGAUAACUUCAGGAAACUGCGGCUAAUACCGGAUAGGAUCUCCUGCUGCAUGGUGGGGGUUGGUAAGUUUCGGCGGUUGUGGAUGGACUCGCUGCUUAUCAGCUUGUUGGUGGGGUAGUGGCUUACCAAGGCUUUGACGGGUAGCCGGCCUGGGAGGGGCACCGGCCACAUUGGGACUGAGAUACGGAGCAGAAUCGUACGGGAGGCAGCAGGGGGGAAUAUUACACAAUGGGCGGAAGCCUGAUGCAGCAACGCCGCGUGCGGGAUGACGGGCUUCGGGUUGUAAACCACUUUCGCCUGUGACAAAGAGGGAGUGACGGUAAUGGGUAAAGAAGCACCGGCUAACUACGUG